UGUUCGAGCGUCAUUUGUACCCUCAAGCUUUGCUUGGUGUUGGGCGUUUGUCUUUUGAGACUCGCCUUAAAACGAUUGGCAGCCGGCAUACUGGUUUCGGAGCGCAGCACAAAUUGCGGUCUAUCCACGAAUGUUGGCAUCCAUGAAGCUCACUUUCCACUUUUGACCUCGGAUCAGGUAGGGAUACCCGCUGAACUUAA
rnacentral:misc_RNA from 1 species